GAUGCAGCAGGACAAGUGCCUGAGUCCUGUGUUUCUGCUUGUGUUCUUGGUGAGUGCAGAAGAACAAGGUAGUGGAAGAUACAAAGUCAUUGGAAGAGCACAUAAAGAGCUUGAAGAAUUAACUUCUGAAUCCAGCAAACCAAUAAAGUAGAGAAAAAAUAUGACACAGAUCUUCUAGCCUGAUUUCAGUAAGGAGUGGACUCAAAAUAUUCCAUAGUCCAGAAUCAUUUUGAAGAUCAUGAUUCCUGUGACUUCCUUGGAGCCCAAGGUGGAGCAAUCCACCUUGGAGAAACCUCUUUUCAUCAGGAAAGAUGUCUAUUUUUCCUCAUCCCCUAAAAGUGGCAACUGAUUGCCUGAAAGUCAGUAAUUAACCAUAUCUAAUUUUUGCUUGGAAAGCACUGCCAUUG